AAAAUAGAAUAAGUCUUCUUUUUAUUGUUUUUAUUUCAAGAUCAUCAAACGCAUUAUUGAAAUCAUGUAAGAGGUACACGUUUACUCAGGAAUUUGCGAUUUCUAUGCGAAUUCAAGUUUAACCCAAAACUCAGGUGUCAAGAGGUUUUACCUUCAAAGGAUAAAAGAAUAAAUCAAUAUCUACUAUAACGUUAGUGUGUAAUUCUUGGUAUUACUUUUAUGAUAAUAAAUGUACAAAAUGUUUUAUAAUUGUGAGAGAAUGUGGUUAAUACGGAUAGGAAUGCUCGUUAUAUA
rnacentral:lncRNA from 1 species